rnacentral:rRNA from 1 species
GCAAACGGGAUUAGAUACCCUGGUAGUCCACGCUGUAAACGAUGUCGAUUUGGAGGUUGUGCCCUUGAGGCGUGGCUUCCGGAGCUAACGCGUUAAAUCGACCGCCUGGGGAGUACGGCCGCAAGGUUAAAACUCAAAUGAAUUGACGGGGGCCCGCACAAGCGGUGGAGCAUGUGGUUUAAUUCGAUGCAACGCGAAGAACCUUACCUACUCUUGACAUCCAGAGAACUUUCCAGAGAUGGAUUGGUGCCUUCGGGAACUCUGAGACAGGUGCUGCAUGGCUGUCGUCAGCUCGUGUUGUGAAAUGUUGGGUUAAGUCCCGCAACGAGCGCAACCCUUAUCCUUUGUUGCCAGCGGUUCGGCCGGGAACUCAAAGGAGACUGCCAGUGAUAAACUGGAGGAAGGUGGGGAUGACGUCAAGUCAUCAUGGCCCUUACGAGUAGGGCUACACACGUGCUACAAUGGCAUAUACAAAGAGAAGCGACCUCGCGAGAGCAAGCGGACCUCAUAAAGUAUGUCGUAGUCCGGAUUGGAGUCUGCAACUCGACUCCAUGAAGUCGGAAUCGCUAGUAAUCGUAGAUCAGAAUGCUACGGUGAAUACGUCCCCGGGCCUUGUACACACCGCCCGUCACACCAUGGGAGUGGGUUGCAAAAGAAGUAGGUAGCUUAACCUUCGGGAGGGCGCUUACCACUUUGUGAUUCAUGACUGGGGU